GGAGAAAGGGGCAGGAGAAUAGAGAGUGGGGAAUGGUUAUCUGUAUUUAGGUGGAGCAAAGAGUAGGCCCUGGAAUGUAGCUCUGGAAAAGAGCAGGAAUGGAGAAGUCAAAGAUGGAGAGCUUUGAAGUCAAUGGGGAGGAGUUUCUGUUUGAUACAGAGGGUAACUGGGAAGCGCUGAAGGAUUUUUUUGGAAGAGGUUCCACAGGCUCAACUCCCUGGGACGAGAAGGACGACGAGUUGGAUGACAAGGAGCUGGAGCAGCCUCACGACCCCAUUCAGAACACUUUCCUCUUUCUGAACAUCACUGGCUGAAUGUGAGCCGGAGCAAGGCUGAGGGGAUUAAUCUCUUAAAAAAUAAGUGCCGUGUGAGGAGACAGGCCGUGAUUAAGGUUUUAACUGAUCAGUCUGCUUCUGACAGCGAACCAGCUAUUAUCUUAACGGAAUCAAACGAACAUUCAAAGCCGCCGCUCAGCCCCAAACAUGAAAGGAGAUGUCAUCUGCUGGCAGUUGGCAAGCCGGAGGGAGAGGGAGAGAGGGAGAAAGGAAAAGAGGGAGAGAGGGAGAGAGAGAGAGAGA